GGGGCGCGAGAUAACUCUCUCUAAGGAACUCGGCAAAAUAACUCCGUAACUUCGGGAGAAGGAGUGCCUUAUUCUUAAGGUUGCAAUAACAAGAUCCAAGCAACUGUUUAUCAAAAACACAGGUCUCCGCUAAGUCGUAAGACGAUGUAUGGGGGCUGACGCCUGCCCAGUGCCAGAAGGUUAAAGAAGUCGGUUAGCAAUAGCAAAGCUGGUAACUGAAGCCCUGGUGAACGGCGGCCGUAACAAUAACGGUCCUAAGGUAGCGAAAUUCCUUGUCGGGUAAGUUCCGACCCGCACGAAAGGCGUAAUGAUUUGGAUGCUGUCUCGGAGAGGGGCUCGGUGAAAUAGACUUGUCUGUGAAGAUGCGGACUACCUGCACCAGGACAGAAAGACCCUAUGAAGCUUUACUGUAACUUGAAAUUGAAAUUGGACUUUAUUCGCGCAGUAUAGGUGGGAGGCGUUGAUUAUAAUCUUGUGGGAUUAUUGGAGCCAUCAGUGAGAUACCACUCUUGUAAUGUUAGAUUUCUAACUUUGAAUCAUUAUCUGGUCAAAGGACAGUUUCAGGCGGGCAGUUUGACUGGGGCGGUCGCCUCCUAAACGGUAACGGAGGCGUACAAAGGUUUCCUCUGAACGGUUAGAAAUCGUAUCUAGAGUGUAAAGGCAUAAGGAAGCUUGACUGUGAGACCUACAAGUCGAGCAGGGACGAAAGUCGGUCUUAGUGAUCUGACGGUACUGAGUGGAAAGGCCGUCACUCAAUGGAUAAAAGUUACUCUAGGAUAACAGGCUGAUCUCCCCCAAGAGUUCACAUCGACGGGGAGGUUUGGCACCUCGAUGUCGGCUCAUCGCAUCCUGGGGCGGUAGUACGUCCCAAGGGUUGGGCUGUUCGCCCAUGAAAGCGGUACGCGAGCUGGGUUCAGAACGUCGUGAGACAGUUCGGUCCAUAUCCGGUGUAGGCGCUAGAAUAUUGAGAGGAGCCUUCUUUAGUACGAGAGGACCGAGAAGGACAUACCUCUGGUGUACCAGUUAUCGUGCCAACGGUAAACGCUGGGUAGCUAUGUAUGGAGUGGAUAACCGCUGAAAGCAUCUAAGUGGGAAGCCCACCUCAAGAUAAGUAUUCUCAUCACGUAAGUGAGUAAGGUCACGGUAAGACUAACCGUUUGAUAGGCAUUAAGUGUAAGUACAGUAAUGUAUGUGCUGAGAUGUCCUAAUAGACCGAGGAC
rnacentral:rRNA from 1 species